rnacentral:misc_RNA from 1 species
AAGUCGUAACAAGGUUUCCGUAGGUGAACCUGCGGAAGGAUCAUUAACACGUAUCCAAACGUUAAACCCCCCUGUGAACCUUCAGUCGUACUCGUACGUCCGUUAGAAAAAGUAGCAAUCCCUGGUAAAUCAUCGCCGAACAGUUUUCGAUUCAGGGACGUCUGCAAGGCACAUGUUAGUGACACUUUCAGACACUAACGUUAGUGACACUUUCAGACACUAACUGCUUGGGGAUGCCAGGCCAAAAUAAGGAUGACGCAGUCACGAUCGUUGGAGGCCCACACGGCCGACGACCGGGUCACCGGGUGCAAGCCCCCUUAUCACACCCCUGCUCUAUCUAUGGUGAUCCUGCGGGAAGUCCUGCGGUCGAACGCCGAAACCGAACAACUGUUAACAAUGGAUAUCUUGGUUCUC